UACGUGGGGUGCAAGCGUUGUUCGGAAUUACUGGGCGUAAAGCGCGUGUAGGUGGCCUGUUAAGUCUCGUGUGAAAUCCCUGAGCUCAACUCAGGAAUGGCGCGGGAAACUAGCAGGCUCGAGUCCGGGAGAGGGUAGCGGAAUUCCUGGUGUAGAGGUGAAAUUCGUAGAUAUCAGGAGGAACACCGAUGGCGAAGGCGGCUACCUGGACCGGUACUGACACUGAGACGCGAAAGCGUGGGGAGCAAACAGG
rnacentral:misc_RNA from 1 species